rnacentral:lncRNA from 1 species
CAAAUGCUUCAGGUAAACGUUGAAGCUCGCUGUACUGCGGGAGAAAUUCUGAGUCACCCCUGGGUGUCAGAUGAUGCAUCCCAGGAGAAUAAUAUGCAAGCCGAGGUUACAGGUAAACUAAAACAGCACUUUAAUAAUGCGCUCCCCAAACAGAACAGCACCACCACUGGGGUCUCCGUUAUCAUGGUCCAAGGCCAUGAACACGGCUCUAGAUAAAGAGGGGCAGGUUUUCUGCAGCAAGCACUGUCGGGACAGCAGCAAAUCAUCCAGGGAGCAGACCUCAGCCCGGGAGGCCCCGCCCCCACCGGAGUCUCCCAGGCCCCCUGGUCCUCCAGCCACCUCUGGCUGUGAUCCUGCCGGGACCUGGCGUCGCCAUCGAGACUGAACUGUGUGUCCACAGGCCAAAGCCGCUCUCUCACCGUGCCAGGAAGGCCGCUCCUCACCAGGCCCCAUCACCUCCUCACUGAAAGAGCCCUUCUCUCCUGACUGCUGCUUUGACAGUUUGUUGGCAUGUUCAGUCGCUGCCUGAGAACAGAACUGAGGCGUCCUGGAGCCAGUGUGCAGCAUGGCCUCAUGCACUUUGGGCUCUGCCCUUUCUAGUUACUGGCUGUGUCAAGCAAGCUGUGCCAGUCAUGGGGACAGAUUUGGAGUGACUUGUUUUAAAUCAUCUGUGUUUUAGUCCAGUAGACACU